UACAGAGGUCUCAAGCGUUGUUCGGAUUCAUUGGGCGUAAAGGGCGCGUAGGCGGCCAGCACAAUUCAGUUGUGAAAUCUCCGAGCUUAACUCGGAAAGGUCAACUGAUACUGUGCGGCUAGAGUGCGGAAGGGGCAACUGGAAUUCUUGGUGUAGCGGUGAAAUGCGUAGAUAUCAAGAGGAACACCUGCGGCGAAGGCGGGUUGCUGGGCCGACACUGACGCUGAGGCGCGAAAGCCAGGGGAGCGAACGGG
rnacentral:rRNA from 1 species